rnacentral:rRNA from 1 species
UACGUAGGGUGCGAGCGUUGUCCGGAAUUAUUGGGCGUAAAGAGCUCGUAGGCGGUGUGUCGCGUCGGCCGUGAAAACCUGCAGCUUAACUGUGGGCGUGCGGUCGAUACGGGCAUCACUGGAGUUCGGCAGGGGAGACUGGAAUUCCUGGUGUAGCGGUGAAAUACGCAGAUAUCAGGAGGAACACCGGUGGCGAAGGCGGGUCUCUGGGCCGAUACUGACGCUGAGGAGCGAAAGCGUGGGGAGCGAACAGG